rnacentral:rRNA from 1 species
AUCAGACGUGAUUACCCGCUGAACUUAAGCAUAUCACUAAGCGGAGGAAAAGAAACUAACAAGGAUUCCCCUAGUAACGGCGAGUGAACAGGGAUCAGCCCAGCACCGAAGCCUGUGGUCAUUUGGCCAUUAGGCAAUGUGGUGUUUAGGUCGUUCCGCAGGGACACUGCUCCUCUCUAAGUCCAUCAAUGAGUACGGUUGUACUGACAUGGCCCAUGGAGGGUGAAAGGCCCGUGAGAGAGGAGUUUUGUUGUGACAGUGUCCCUCUGGAUUGACCUUGGAGUCGGGUUGUUUGGGAAUGCAGCCCUAAGCGGGUGGUAAACUCCAUCCAAGGCUAAAUACAAGCACGAGUCCGAUAGCGAACAAGUACCGUGAGGGAAAGUUGAAAAGUACUUUGAAGAGAGAGUAAACAGUGCGUGAAACCGCUUAGAGGUAAACGGGUGGAGUUGAACUGCAAUCUCUGAGAAUUCAGCUGGGGAAAUUUGCUUGAGCUUGGUCAUUUGGGCAGGGCCUCGAGGUAUGCUUAGCUGCAUGUCCUGAUCUCACGGUCGGGAUGCGCGUUGCUCUUAUCAAGGGUUGCGCGCCUCGGGUGUCCGGCUGGCUCGUUCGCCAGUGCACUUUCUCAGAGUGAUCAUCACGACCGGCGCUGCUGCUGGGCUGUUUUAGUUAAAUCGGACAUUCAUCGUCCUUGUGGCGUUGGGUGGUCGACACGGCAGGUAACUGAGUGCUCGCUUCGGCUUGCUUUCCGGUGUAUGCUGGCUCUAACGGUUCUGUGCGGUGUGUCGGAGACGGCGGCUUGUGGUGUGUGCAUGUGUGCCUAUCUGGUGGCAUAUUCUGGUUUGGUAGCUGUGUGCUUGUUCAAGCAGGCCCAGUUAUAGCUGGAGUGUGUCAUUGGGUGGUUGCGUGUGUGUCACUUUUCAGGGCCAACAGUCUGUGAUGUCGUGGUAGACUAUCCACCUGACCCGUCUUGAAACACGGACCAAGGAGAGUAACAUGUACGCGAGUCAUUGGGCGUAACGAAACCCACAGGCGCAGUGAAAGUAAAGGUCUGGCUUGUCCAGUCUAAGGUGAGAUCCUGUCGUUGCUCAUGCGCGGUACCCCCAAGCUUGGAGCGAUAGGCGCAUCACCGGCCCGUCCCAUGACGUGGUCACAGUCCUCGGAUUGUGCGCCGUCGGGGCGGGGCAUGAGCGUACAUGUUGAGACCCGAAAGAUGGUGAACUAUGCUUGCGCAGGUUGAAGCCAGAGGAAACUCUGGUGGA